rnacentral:piRNA from 1 species
AGGACGGGCUUAUAAGCUGCUAAAACA